GAAUUACCUUUAAGCCUAUGCCAUUGAAACACACAGGGGCUUAUUAAUCUUUGAGCACUUCCUAUGGCUUCCACUAGAUGUCACCAGUCUUUAGAAAGUGGUUUGAGUCUUCUACUGUGAGAACUGAACGAACAAGAGCCUUGGAACGGUGGUGGCCGAUUAGACUCUGGCGCGCGAGUUCAUGUUGGGUACUCUCGUUCCAAUACGUUUUAAAAGAGAAUGCAAUCGUCUGCCUUGAAUAUUAUUCAUGUUCUAGUUGAAAAAGGCACUAAUGAUUUAUGCUAUACAACGUUUGACAUGUUUGAACGAACGUAAAUAUUUUUUUCCCCCUCUUUCAUGAAGACAAGUCCGGCGGGCAUAGAUUAUGUGCUAACAACACGGAGCGUUUUGGACAUAAAUUAUGAGCUUUUUCGACCAAAACUACAUUUGUUAUGGACCUGGGAUUCCUGGAAGUGACAUCUGAUGAAGAGAAUCAAAGUCCUCCUGGUUCUGACCCUUGCCUGUUUUCUGGACUCCAUGCCCGCCUGCCUGACCAUUCUGCCUGCUUGACCACGAGCGUGACUGCCACUCUGUACCUCCUGGACUUUGAUCUGGUUUUGACCUUUUGCCUGUCCACGACCAUUCUCUUGCCUA
rnacentral:lncRNA from 1 species